AAAUCUUAUGAUCAACUUGCCCUAGAACUCAACACACUUUCUUCUUCUUCUUCCUUUCAGCUUUCAGAUCGCAGCAGUAGCCGGAGCUUAACGGCGCCGGACUCCCACGUCACGCUGCUUUUACGACGGUCAAAAGUUGACUGACGUGGCAUAACAACGCCUCCAACAACGCUCGGUAACACAAGAUGAGCUUCAUAAGCCAGUUGUUCAAGCAAUCCUUACGAAGUCGAGCUGAGAAACCAGAUGGUUUUACUUGUUUCGUGUAAACUAUUUGACCGUGAUUUCUCUGUUUAAAAAAAUCUGGAUUUCAAAGUUGUCUGAGAGGGGAUGAUUAAUUAUGCAUCACGUGCACGUGGCGACGUUGAUAGCAGAAAGAAAAAUUAUGCAGAAAUUUGGAGCUUGAAGAAAAGAUAAAAUUUGAAGAAGAGAAGUUCGAGCUCCUGAAAACAUAUUAUGAUAAGAUGGCUGAUUUGAGGAGCAGGUUCUGGAAGGAAGCGAUCGAGUCACGGAUAGGGUUUGUUGCAGAGGUGAGUCAGUUUUUGCAAAACUACAAAAUAGAUGUUUGAGUUUGUAUAUGCUCGUGUGAUGUGCAGAGUGGUUAAGGGGGUACAUGCACUAUUCGGCGUUUGUCUCAAUUGCUGAGUGUUAUGUGCCUUAUGUCCAAGGCUUGAUGCAAAACUACUAUCGAGCCGGGGGUCUCACUGGAAGUAGCAUCUCUAUUUUUACAGGGUAGAAGUUCAAGGGGGCAUUUGGUAUACAGGUGUCUUCUCCAUCAACAUGUCCAAAAGUUGAGGAAACCACCCUCGGUAUAUCAAACACAAAAUGAAGGAUCCGACCAUAAUCCAAGGUUCAGAUCCACUGUUUCGGUAGAUGGUGUGAGCUACACAUCAUCAAACACAUUUCAACUUCGUAAGAUGGCUGAGUUGGAUGUUUCCAGAAUUGCAUAUACUGCCAUAACGCAGAAGAAAAAAACUGAAGCAUUGCAGUUUAUACAACAGGAUAAAACCUAUUGCAAGUCUAUUAUGGUUGAAUUUGCAUCUAAGAAGAAUAUAAGAAUACCUGUUUACCAGACAAAACAUCUAAAGGUGCCGGUUCUUGUUUUCCAUUCUAAGUUGCUUUUCAACAGUGGUACUUAUCCGGGAGAUAUUGCCAAAAGCAAGAAAGAAGUCGAACAAUUGGUGGCGCACUCUGUUAUUAUUAAUAUUUUAGCUUCGGAGUCUGAUACUGACAUGACGGACAUAGUGAAUAGCAAGCUCCGGCAUAAUAAGGAAAUCAAACGUAUUCAGAUUAGCUCGCACGUUUUAAAAGCAUAAGCGGGCUACAAAACCAGCACCAUGGCUCCAGCCACAACCACAUCUACAACUGCAGGUGUACCUCAACCAAUUAUUCCACAACAAUUGGUUGAGCCAGUUACUCCAGCUGCUCCUGUUGUAGUUCAACCGCCUACUAAACGAGUAAAAACUGAGCCGGUUGAUCUAGACGUUCCUCUUGAAACUCGACGACCAACUCCACGAGUAUCAACUAAGUCGAACUUAGUUCAAGGCACCAUGGUUCCACCAACAAUUCCAUAUUCAGUUGCACCUCAACCGAUUGUUCCACAACUGUCAGUGGGACGAGCCACUCCAGCUAUUCCUGUUGCAAUUCAACGUCCUCAACUAGUAUCAACUAGGCCAAUCCAUGCAUUUGUUCGUGUUCCUGUUGUAAGUCAACAGCCUAUCAAGGCAGCUGUUGCUGAACCUCGGGUUUUGACAGCAGUCCCAUAUGUGGUAGUCAACAACUCAUGCACUCCUGUGGUAUCAACGACAAUGGUUGAAAUUCCAGCAACCACCAAUGUGAGUUCACUACCGCAGCCAGAAGCAUCACCUGCUCAAUCACUGGAGUACAUAGCACUUGUGAAUCAAGCUUCUGACAAGAAACGAAGACGAACACAAUGGAAAAAUGCCCGAAAGAAGAUGCGUGCUAAUGCUCAGUAAGUGUUAUCAAGCUUCUUAGCAUGGUGGUGGCGUGAGAUUGAGCCUCUGAAUCGUUAAUUAUUGUUAUGUAGAAGUUUGUUGUACUGUUGGUUGUGUUUUGGACCUUAUAAUUGGUGUUUUUGUAGGUGGUCAUGAAUCAUGAUAAUGUAUGUUGUUUUUUGUUUUUGUGUUU